GGGUGCAAUCAUACCAAUGUUAAUGCACCGGAUCCCAUCAGAGCUCUGCAGUUAAGCGCGCUUGGGCUAGAGUAGUAUGCGGAUGGGUGACCUCCCGGGAAGUCCUAGUGUUGCACAUU
rnacentral:rRNA from 1 species